rnacentral:rRNA from 1 species
UACGUAGGUGGCUAGCGUUGUUCGGAUUUACUGGGCGUAAAGAGCGCGCAGGCGGUCGUUCAAGUCGAGUGUGAAAGCCCCCGGCUCAACUGGGGAGGGUCACUCGAUACUGAUCGACUUGAAGGCGGGAGAGGGAAGCGGAAUUCCCGGUGUAGUGGUGAAAUGCGUAGAUAUCGGGAGGAACACCAGUGGCGAAGGCGGCUUUCUGGCCCGUUCUUGACGCUGAGGCGCGAAAGCUAGGGUAGCAAACGGG